AGCGAACGCUGGCGGUAGGCCUAACACAUGCAAGUCGAACGAACUCUUCGGAGUUAGCGGCGGACGGGUGAGUAACACGUGAGAACGUGUCUUUUGGUUCGGGAUAACUAAGGGAAACUUGUGCUAAUACCGAAUGUGCCCUUCGGGGGAAGAAUUAAUCGCGAUUAGAGCGGUCCUCGUCUGAUUAGUUAGUUGGUGAGGUAACGCUCCACAAAGGCGACGACCAGUAGUUGGUCUGUGAGGAUGACCAGCAAACCUGGGACUAAGCACCGCCCCAGACUCCGGCAGGAAGCAGCAGUGAGGAAUCUGGCGCAAGGGGCAAAAUCCUGACGCAGUCAUGCCGCGGGGAUGAAGAAGCUCUUAGGAUUAUAAUAUUCUUUCACCGGGGACGAUAAUGACGGUACCCGGAGAAGAAGCCCCGGCUAACUUCGUG
rnacentral:rRNA from 1 species